rnacentral:tRNA from 2 species
GCCCGCCUAGCUCAAUCGGAUAGAGCGUCAGACUCUUAACUUGUUUGGGCGGGUAUGAAAUCUGAAGGCUGCGAGUUCGACCCUCGCGGUGGGCU